AGGUAAGCUACUAAGAGCGAAUGGUGGAUGCCUUGACUGGUAAAGGCGAUGAAGGACGUACUAGACUGCGAUAAGCUACGGGGAGCUGUCAAGAAGCUUUGAUCCGUAGAUUUCCGAAUGGGGCAACCCAAUGUAUAGAGAUAUACAUUACCUAUAUAGGAGCGAACGAGGGGAAUUGAAACAUCUUAGUACCCUCAGGAAAAGAAAUCAAUAGAGAUUGCGUCAGUAGCGGCGAGCGAAAGCGCAAGAGGGCAAACCCAGUGCUUGCACUGGGGGUUGUAGGACUGCAAUGUGCAAGAGGUGAGUUUAGCAGAACAUUCUGGAAAGUAUAGCCAUAGAGGGUGAUAGUCCCGUAUGCGAAAAACAAACCUUAGCUAGCAGUAUCCUGAGUAGGGCGGGACACGAGAAAUCCUGUCUGAAGCUGGGUCGACCACGAUCCAACCCUAAAUACUAAUACCAGAUCGAUAGUGCACAAGUACCGUGAGGGAAAGGUGAAAAGAACUGAGGUGAUCAGAGUGAAAUAGAACCUGAAACCAUUUGCUUACAAUCAUUCAGAGCCCUAUGUAGCAAUACAGGGUGAUGGACUGCCUUUUGCAUAAUGAGCCUGCGAGUUGUGGUGUCUGGCAAGGUUAAGCAAACGCGAAGCCGUAGCGAAAGCGAGUCUGAAUAGGGCGCUUAGUCAGAUGCUGCAGACCCGAAACGAAGUGAUCUAUCCAUGAGCAAGUUGAAGCUAGUGUAAGAACUAGUGGAGGACUGAACCCAUAGGCGUUGAAAAGCCCCGGGAUGACUUGUGGAUAGGGGUGAAAGGCCAAUCAAACUUCGUGAUAGCUGGUUCUCUCCGAAAUAUAUUUAGGUAUAGCGUUGUGUCGUAAUAUAAGGGGGUAGAGCACUGAAUGGGCUAGGGCAUACACCAAUGUACCAAACCCUAUCAAACUCCGAAUACCUUAUAUGUAAUCACAGCAGUCAGGCGGCGAGUGAUAAAAUCCGUCGUCAAGAGGGAAACAACCCAGACUACCAGCUAAGGUCCCUAAAUCUUACUUAAGUGGAAAACGAUGUGAAGUUACUUAAACAACCAGGAGGUUGGCUUAGAAGCAGCCAUCCUUUAAAGAAAGCGUAAUAGCUCACUGGUCUAGUGAUUUUGCGCGGAAAAUAUAACGGGGCUAAAGUAAGUACCGAAGCUGUAGACUUGAUUUUAUCAAGUGGUAGGAGAGCGUUCUAUUUGCGUCGAAGGUAUACCGGUAAGGAGUGCUGGAGCGAAUAGAAGUGAGCAUGCAGGCAUGAGUAGCGAUAAUUAAUGUGAGAAUCAUUAACGCCGUAAACCCAAGGUUUCCUACGCGAUGCUCGUCAUCGUAGGGUUAGUCGGGUCCUAAGUCGAGUCCGAAAGGGGUAGACGAUGGCAAAUUGGUUAAUAUUCCAAUACCAACAUUAGUGUGCGAUGGAAGGACGCUUAGGGCUAAGGGGGCUAGCGGAUGGAAGUGCUAGUCUAAGGUCGUAGGAGGUUAUACAGGCAAAUCCGUAUAACAAUACUCCGAGAACUGAAAGGCUUUUUGAAGUCUUCGGAUGGAUAGAAGAACCCCUGAUGCUGUCGAGCCAAGAAAAGUUUCUAAGUUUAGCUAAUGUUGCCCGUACCGUAAACCGACACAGGUGGGUGGGAUGAGUAUUCUAAGGCGCGUGGAAGAACUCUCUUUAAGGAACUCUGCAAAAUAGCACCGUAUCUUCGGUAUAAGGUGUGGUUCGCUUUGUAUUAGGAUUUACUCCGAAAGCGAAGAAACUUACAACAAAGAGUCCCUCCCGACUGUUUACCAAAAACACAGCACUCUGCUAACUCGUAAGAGGAUGUAUAGGGUGUGACGCCUGCCCGGUGCUCGAAGGUUAAUUGAUGGGGUUAGCAUUAGCGAAGCUCUUGAUCGAAGCCCGAGUAAACGGCGGCCGUAACUAUAACGGUCCUAAGGUAGCGAAAUUCCUUGUCGGUUAAAUACCGACCUGCAUGAAUGGCGUAACGAGAUGGGAGCUGUCUCAAAGAGGGAUCCAGUGAAAUUGUAGUGGAGGUGAAAAUUCCUCCUACCCGCGGCAAGACGGAAAGACCCCGUGGACCUUUACUACAGCUUGACACUGCUACUUGGAUAAGAAUGUGCAGGAUAGGUGGGAGGCUUUGAGUAUAUGACGCCAGUUGUAUAGGAGCCAUUGUUGAGAUACCACUCUUUCUUAUUUGGGUAGCUAACCAGCUUGAGUUAUCCUCAAGUGGGACAAUGUCUGGUGGGUAGUUUGACUGGGGCGGUCGCCUCCCAAAUAAUAACGGAGGCUUACAAAGGUUGGCUCAGAACGGUUGGAAAUCGUUCGUAGAGUAUAAAGGUAUAAGCCAGCUUAACUGCAAGACAUACAAGUCAAGCAGAGACGAAAGUCGGUCUUAGUGAUCCGGUGGUUCUGUGUGGAAGGGCCAUCGCUCAAAGGAUAAAAGGUACCCCGGGGAUAACAGGCUGAUCUCCCCCAAGAGCUCACAUCGACGGGGAGGUUUGGCACCUCGAUGUCGGCUCAUCGCAUCCUGGGGCUGGAGCAGGUCCCAAGGGUAUGGCUGUUCGCCAUUUAAAGCGGUACGCGAGCUGGGUUCAGAACGUCGUGAGACAGUUCGGUCCCUAUCUGCCGUGGGCGUAAGAAGAUUGAAGAGAUUUGACCCUAGUACGAGAGGACCGGGUUGAACAAACCACUGGUGUAGCUGUUGUUCUGCCAAGAGCAUCGCAGCGUAGCUAAGUUUGGAAAGGAUAAACGCUGAAAGCAUCUAAGCGUGAAGCCAACUCUAAGAUGAAUCUUCUCUAAGCUCUCUAGAAGACUACUAGUUUGAUAGGCUGGGUGUGUAAUGGAUGAAAGUCCUUUAGCUGACCAGUACUAAUAGAGCGUUUGGCUUAUCUUU
rnacentral:rRNA from 1 species